AACUCUAGAAUAUUAUGUCUCUAGACUUAGUAUCUUAGUGACCCUGGAAUAUACAUUCAUUUUUAUUAGUAGUAAUACUAUGUUUUCAUUCUUUCAAUGCCUUUUCAUUAUGUUGUUGCUAUAUUCCAGACACCGACAUGUUUUCCCAAGUAAUGUUUACAAUCACCGUGAGAAACAGGUGCUGCUAGUAUCUUCAUGUUGUAGGCAAGGUGAGUGAAGCUCAGAGGGGUGAAGGACUGAGGGUGGGUGUGCGGCCUGCACUUCCACUCUGCCUAUGAGAAGGACCCUGAAAACAGACUGCUUCCUACCUACUGAGCGGUCAUUACCCAGAGCUGGACCCUCCUGCUGGCAGUCUACCAGCCUGGUGUGCUGGCCACCCAGUUACUCACUCGUUGGCUCACUGGUCAUGGUAGACAGAAUAAGGUGUCCAUGUCUUAAUCCUCAGAACUCAUGAAUACAUUAUGUGGCAAAGGGAAAUUACAGUUGCAGGUGGAAUUAAGGUUGCAAUCAGCAACCCUUAAAAUAGGCAUGUGGAUGAAAUGAAGGUUCCUGUGGCCGGGAUUCUCACCUGGCCGGGGUCGGCUAGCUCACCACACACAGGUGGGCAAUGAAUUUUUAUUGACUCUAUAUAAAGAGCCCUGCCCAGUGCUCUGGGUGGCACAGUGGCAGGGCUGCUGCAGGGCUGCAGGAGAGCAGAGCAGAGGCUGGAGUGGUGGCAGCACUGAGGACAGAGCCAGAGGAUGGCUGUGCAGGCAGAGAGGCCCAGAGAAUGGCUGUGAAGACAGAGAGGCCCAGAGGCAGAGACCGGCUUGCUGCAUGCAGACUUGCUCUGAGUGGAUGGGAUUUUAGUGAUUGACCUGCCACCGUGGGAACACAGUUGGAUGAAGGGGGCGAGAGCCAGGAAGUGCAGGUGGCCUCCAGAAGCUGAAAAGGCGAGGCAACAGAGUCCCAAGGAAGAAGGACAGCACCCCCCGCAUCCCCCCAACAUCUUGAUCGUAGCCAGGCAUGACAGCAGACGCCUGCAAUCAGUCUUGGCUGCUCUGCUUCCCUUCCGGCUGACCUGGGAGGUUUUCUGGAAUUCAGAGAAGUGCCCCGUGCCUGGCGUCCAUGAGCUCUGGGUUCGAAUCCCAGCUCUGUGAUUUUUGAAAGGUUGCUUUGUCCAGAGGGAAUCUCAGUUGU